rnacentral:rRNA from 1 species
UACGAAGGGGGCUAGCGUUGUUCGGAAUUACUGGGCGUAAAGCGCACGCAGGCGGUCUGAUUAGUCAGAAGUGAAAGCCCCGGGCUCAACCUGGGAACUGCUUUUGAUACUGUCAGGCUUGAAUCACGGAGAGGGUAGUGGAAUUCCGAGUGUAGAGGUGAAAUUCGUAGAGAUGUGGAGGAACACCAAUGGCGAAGGCAAUCCCCUGGACCUGUACUGACGCUCAUGCACGAAAGCGUGGGGAGCAAACAGG